UUGGCGCGCUGAGUGGACACCAGGGAAUCAAAAUGAGAUAAACAAGGCCAAAUGAACCACACUGUUGUGUACAGACUGUCUGAUGUUGUACAGCUCAAUACUGUAAGACUCAUUGUCAUCAUUCAUUACAGUAUUUUGACAAUGGACGAUGGUACGGUGCUACCAUAAACAAUUUGAGUCAAGUGUAUUCUACCAGAGGUUGGUACUGUGACACUGCUGUUGCUGAUCCGCCAUUUGCUACCAUUGGAGUCAUUGCGCUGAAUGUGCUUGACCAGGUCUGCCAUAUAGCAACGCAUCAUUCUGUGUGCUAAAAGGUUAUUGCCCCCGUGGGAUGCCACUCCACCUCUUUUUUUGCUGACCACCAAUCCAAACAUGCGCAAUCGAUGGGAGCAAAUGCAAAAAGAGGUCAUCAUGCUAACUGCCUCUUCGGGACCGGGAUCUUUGCCUCCAGAGCUCACUACUGAUAGCCCAAAUUGCCAUUCGCCACAAUGGAUUCCACCGCAGACUCCAGCUGCUCACGUUUGGACAGUUCCUCUUGCCAUCUAUGAACACAAUACAAAGGGUUGAAAGAAGACCCUGCUUGGCGGGUGGAACUCAGAGUGACCUGCAUCAUCAGAACAAAGUUUGUUGAGUUGUCACCCUUUCAGCGGUGCUUUGUGACUAUGUGAGGACUUGUCUAUGUGGAGUCUCCUUACAAGGACAAAGAUCAGCAGGAUGCUCGGAGCCCAUCUUCCCGACCACGGCUCAUUUUCACUGUUAGUUGCCUCCAGUAAAUCAACAUCUGUGUGCAACCUCUAAGCCUGGUGGAAAGUAAAAUAGAACCAGACAUACCGACAUUUGGCAGGCUAAUAUAAACCACAAUCAUGAAAUAGAGCUACUGGUGCGCUCUGUAUUUUAUAUUUCACAAAAGAAAAGCAGUUGCUGAUGGUGUUGUGGUGCACUCGCCUGACUUGAAUGCGGGCAGCGUCGGCGCGGUUCCCACUCGGUGUGUGUUCAAGAAACACAAUUCACAACAACUGGCUGGCAACCAAUUCAGGGUGUACCCCACCUUCCAACUCAUCCAAAAAUUCCCUAGCCUCUCUCUCUCUCUCUCUCUCUCUCUCUCUCUCUCUAUAUAUAUAUAUAUAUAUAUAUGUUCAGUUAGCCUUUUAAAUGUUCAGUAGCUCAAUUUCUCUGAGCCACUGUGUAUGAGCAGCAUCAUUAACACCACAGAACAACAGUCUGUCAUGAGGGUUUUUAAAAAAUGUGUUUCAAAUGGAAAAGUAUUUUUUUCCACAGCCUUAUCUGGCCAGCAGCAACAUUCCAGCAGUACAAAAACUCCCCUAUCAUGUGUGUGUGUGUGUGUGUGUGUCUGGGAGUAACA